rnacentral:rRNA from 1 species
UACGGAAGGCAGCAGUGGGGAAUAUUGCACAAUGGGCGCAAGCCUGAUGCAGCCAUGCCGCGUGUAUGAAAAAGGCCUUCGGGUUGUAAAGUACUUUCAGUCGUGAGGAAGGUGUUAAGGUUAAUAACCUUAGCAAUUGACGUUAGCGACAGAAGAAGCACCGGCUAACUCCGUGCCAGCAGCCGCGGUAAUACGGAGGGUGCGAGCGUUAAUCGGAAUUACUGGGCGUAAAGGGCACGCAGGCGGUUAAUUAAGUUGGAUGUGAAUCCCCGGGCUUAACCUGGGAAUGGCAUUCAAGACUGGUUAGCUAGAGUCUUGUAGAGGGGGUAGAAUUCCAUGUGUAGCGGUGAAAUGCGUAGAGAUGUGGGGGAAUACCGGUGGCGAAGGGCGGCCCCUGGGACAAAGACUGACGCUCAUGUGCGAAAGCGUGGGGAGCAAACAGGGAUUAGAUACC